rnacentral:rRNA from 1 species
ACUCAAAUGAAUUGACGGGGGCCCGCACAAGCGGCGGAGCAUGCGGAUUAAUUCGAUGCAACGCGAAGAACCUUACCUGGGUUUGACAUGGCCGCAAAACCGGCAGAGAUGUCGGGUCCUUCGGGGGCGGUCACAGGUGGUGCAUGGCUGUCGUCAGCUCGUGUCGUGAGAUGUUGGGUUAAGUCCCGCAACGAGCGCAACCCUCGUUCGAUGUUGCCAGCGCGUUAUGGCGGGGACUCAUCGAAGACUGCCGGGGUCAACUCGGAGGAAGGUGGGGAUGACGUCAAGUCAUCAUGCCCCUUAUGUCCAGGGCUUCACGCAUGCUACAAUGGCCGGUACAAUGGGCUGCGAUACCGUGAGGUGGAGCGAAUCCCAAAAAGCCGGUCUCAGUUCGGAUCGGGGUCUGCAACUCGACCCCGUGAAGUCGGAGUCGCUAGUAAUCGCAGAUCAGCAACGCUGCGGUGAAUACGUUCCCGGGCCUUGUACACACCGCCCGU